GACGAACGCUGGCGGCGUGCUUAACACAUGCAAGUCGAACGGAAAGGCCCUGCUUUUGUGGGGUGCUCGAGUGGCGAACGGGUGAGUAACACGUGAGUAACCUGCCCUUGACUUUGGGAUAACUUCAGGAAACUGGGGCUAAUACCGGAUAGGAGCUCCUGCUGCAUGGUGGGGGUUGGAAAGUUUCGGCGGUUGGGGAUGGACUCGCGGCUUAUCAGCUUGUUGGUGGGGUAGUGGCUUACCAAGGCUUUGACGGGUGGCCGGCCUGAGAGGGUGACCGGCGACAUUGGGACUGAGAUACGGCCCAGACUCCAACGGGAGGCAGCAGUGGGGAAUAUUGCACAAUGGGCGGAAGCGUGAUGCAGCAACGCCGCGUGCGGGAUGACGGCCUUCGGGUUAUAAACCGCUUUCGCCUGUGACGAAGCGUGAGUGACGGUAAUGGGUAAAGAAGCACCGGCUAACUACGUG
rnacentral:rRNA from 1 species